UUCCGCUGCUGGAUUUCCGUCCCACAAAGAGUUCGCAGCGAGUGAGCCGACCGUAGGCGCCGGGCCAGACGAAGCAGGUGAGGACCCGGGCUUUGAAGAGGAGAGGGAUCAGCGCGGGUGAAGGGGAGGCCCUGGUCCUGGCCCAUCAGCCCAAGAGGGAUUCCCCACUGGCCCCUUGCGGAGGAGGGACACGCAGUGGCGGCCAGACCUCGCAUCUCCCUUUUGGGUGCCAACGAGUAUUUGUCCACAUUGGCCACACCUGUGACCCUGCUGUCCCUCACUGGCCCCUGCUGGAUCCAGAAUGGCUUCCUGGUGCUACUGCCUCCUCUACUUCCUGAUAAGGAGUCUCUCUGGGACACCCUCCAACUCCCCAGGUGAAGCAAGGAGCUCUUGGCUCCCAGCUCCAGUGGACCCCGGUGAGGUGGUGGAGACCCCAGACGGGGUGUGCAAGUUCCCAGGGCAGCAGCUGAGCUGGUGGCAGGCUCAAGAGUCAUGUGAGCAGCGUUUUGGCCACCUGGCACUGGCGCCCCCAGCUGAAGUCCUUGCUCCACGGCUGCCCAACCCCAUCUGGGCGGGCCAAAGGGAGGCCCCUCUGCGGAGACCCCCCCAGAGGCGCGCGCUCCCCACGGCCGCGCUGGUGUUCGGCGAGCGGACCGCGGACAGGGCGGCGCGGCUGCGGACGCCCCUGCCCGCGCUGGGGGCGCUGACCGCGUGCGCGCACGUGCAGUGGGACGCCGCCUCGCAGGACGCCGCCGCGCUCUUCUCCCUCGCCGCGCCCUCCCUCGCCAACGCGCUGCAGCUGCGCGCCUUCGCCGAGCCGGGCGGCGCCGUGCACGCGGCGCUGGUGGUGCGCGGCCACCACGCGCCCUUCCGCGCCGCCUUCCGCGCCGACGGCCGCUGGCACCACGUGUGCACCACGUGGGAGCAGCGCGGCGGGCGCUGGGCGCUGUUUGCCGACGGGCAGCGGCGCGCCGGGGCGCGGGGACUGGGCGCGGGCCACCCGGUGCCAGCGGGCGGCAUCCUCGUGCUGGGCCAGGAUCAGGACUCUCUGGGCGGUGGCUUCUCGGCGCGUGAUGCCUUCAGCGGCAACCUCACCGACUUCCACCUGUGGGCUCGGGCCCUGAGCCCCGCGCAGCUGCUUCGGGCACGGGCCUGCGCGCCGCCACCCGGCGGCCUGCUCUUCCGCUGGGACCUGGGCGCCCUGGACGUCACGCCCUCGCUGUUGCCGCCCCUGCGGGUGCGCCUGCUCUGUCCAGUGCCCUCAGAAGAGUGCCCUACUUGGAACCCAGGAUCCGGCACCGAGGGCUCUUUGCUCUGCCUUCAACCACAUUUCUUCCUUUGCUGUUACCGGACAGACACUUAUCAGCGGCUGCAGGAUGCCCAGUCGUGGCCUGGCCAGGAUGUUAUCAGCCGAGUCAAUGCCUUGGCCAAGACCGUAGUGCUGCUUCCUGACCCCCUCUCUGAAGCCCCUGGACACCUGUCACUGGCUGAGGCCUCCAGCUUCCUGGGUAUCCUGGAGAGGGUCCUGGCAAAGGAGUCCGCUCCACUGGGGCCGGCUGCACUGCUGGCUGUCGUGCACUUCCUAAAGAGAGUGACAGCCCUCGGGGCUGGGGAGCCAGAGCCCUUAACAGGGCCCUGGGAGCAGCUAGGCCAGGGCAUCGUGUCUGUGGCCAGCUUGGUCCUGGAGGAGCAGCUGGCUGGCGCGUGGCUCUCAAUCAACGAGGUGGUUGGCGGACCCAUGGCCCUGGUGGCAAGUCUACAGCGCUUGGCGCCCCUGCUGAGCACCACGCUGACCCCUGGGCGGCCCCAAAUGCACAUCCAGCGUCGCUGUGUCGGCCUGGAGGUGCGGAGUCUACGCUUGACGGAGGCUGGCACGGAGGGCUAUGUGUUCACGGUGCCCGGUGGGCAUCCGGAGGGGCCCGGCCACAUCCGCAUCCCCGCAGGUGAAGUGGAGCGCCUCCUCGGGAAAGGCCUCUCUGGAGUCACCGUGAUCCACAGCUGGUUCAGCUCGAGUGUCUUCCAGCAAACCCUAGGGGAGCCUGGCCUGGAGCCCCAGGCCCCUGACAGCUCAGAAGAGGCAAGCAAAUUGCAGAGGUUUCUAAGCACCCAGGUGGGGUCAGCCAUCAUCUCCUCUGAGGUAUGGGAUGAAACCGGGGAGGUCAGCACGGCCGUGACCUUUCACUUGCAACACCAGACCCAGGCUUUCCCGCAGAAACUGGUGGAACCUGUCUGUGCCUUCUGGAACUUCAGCAUCAGCCCAGACACAGGGGGCUCCUGGGCCACUACCGGCUGCUCUGUGGCCACCCUGUACCGGGACUCUACCGCGUGCUUCUGCAACCACAGCACCAACUUUGCUGUCCUGUUGCAGGUGUAUGAUGUCCAGAGAAGCCCCGAGGAGGAGUCGCUGCUGAGGACGCUGUCGUUUGUGGGCUGCGGAGUGUCCUUCUGCGCCCUGGCCACCGCCUUCUUGCUCUUCCUGGCAGCCGGGGUCCCCAGGUCAGAGCGAGCCACGGUCCACAAGAACCUCACCUUCUCCCUGGCCUCUGCCGAGGGCUUCCUCAUGGCCAGCGAGUGGGCAAAGGCCAACAAGGUGGCAUGUGUGGCCGUCACAGCUGCAAUGCAUCUCCUCUUUUUGGUCGCAUUCUCCUGGAUGUUGGUGGAGGGCCUAUUGCUAUGGAGCAAGGUGGUGGCCGUGCGCAUGCGCCCAGGCCCCAGGAUGACUCUCUACUACGCCACGGGCUGGGGCGUGCCCGUAGCCAUCGUGGCCAUCACGGUGGCCAUGUCCCCCGACGACUAUGUGGCCACUGGCCACUGCUGGCUCAAUGUGCACACGGACACCAUCUGGGCCUUUGUGGGGCCCGUGCUCUUCGUGCUGACUGCCAACACCUGCAUCCUGGUCCGUGUAGUGAUGGUCACUGUGUCCAGUGCCCGCCGCCGUGCCCGCAUGCUGAGCCCCCAGCCCUGCCUGCGGCAGCAAAUCACGAUCCAGAUAUGGGCCACAGUGAAGCCGGUGCUGGUCCUGCUGCCCGUCCUGGGCCUGACCUGGCUGGUCGGCACGCUGGUGCACCUCAGCCCGGCCUGGGCCUACGCCGCCGUGGGCCUCAAUUCCUUCCAGGGGCCAUACAUCUUCCUGGUCUACGCUGCCUACAAUGGGGAGGUCCGGAAUGCCUUGCAGAGGAUGACUGAGAAAAAGGCAACAGAGGCAUUUAUGGUCUGCUCCAGCCCCAUAGGCCCAGGGUCCCACCCUAGGUCCCUUGGUCCCUGGGAGGUUUCUCAGAACAACCCUGUAGCCUUGGCUCCAGCCCGAAGACACUUGGCUAUUAGAGGUAAGGCCACACCACCCUCCAGUCUGAGUACUACCCAGUGCCUCAGUUUCCCCAGUGUUCAGGUAAAGCUGAGAAGGCAAUGGCAGAUCCUGUCAACCCAUCUGAGAGACAAGGAGACUGAGGCCCAGGGAAUUCUGCAAACACGGGGCCUGGAAGGGACCCACAGCCCCAGAAUCUCCACAACCUUCUCCUCCAUUGCAGAACCUGAGAGACCGGCUGUGGAGCUGACAGCAUUCAAGGCAUCAGGUACAGCUCCCAUCUCAGGGGGGUCCCCCCUCUCCCCUUGGCACCCAGACACCCCCUCAGCCCCACUGCACCAGGAUGGAAGGGAUUUGAGAAGCAGCUACACCUGACGCCUCGUGGAAGCCUGAAGUCUUCCAUUAGCACACUGUAGGCCUGGCCCGGAGACACGGUGCUCUUUGGGAGAGGUGUACUUAGGGAAUGGGUUUGGGACCCUUCCCAGAGCUGGUGCUGCAGGAGGGCCAGUGCGCAAGGAGCCCGCCUUCCUCUGUGCACCCACUCUGUCUGCCUCCCCCACCCCCCUCAGCCUCCUGGCCACAUCCCACUCAGAGCCCCUGUCCUGAUGCCUUGUGCCCUGAAAUGACUUCCAAACCCGGUGAGAGGCAAGCGCUUUCCUUCUGGGUUGUUUCCCCAGCUGGACAGAUGAGGGGGGCCUGGGGGCAGCGGGGCAAGGCUGGGCCCAUCCCAGGCGCAGCUCAAGGAGAGAGGACUGAGCCUGGGGAGUUCAGCCUGGCCCUAGGCGAGCUGAGGGGCCUGUGGUCACUGUCAGCUUCUCUGAGCCUGAGUUCCCUCAGUCUUAAAACGUAGGUUUAAGACUACAUAGGUAGGAGGGGCCGCCAGGCACUGCCCAGCCUCAAACCAACCAAGGGAUUCCUUCCGGCAUGGGCAAGAGGCAUGUUCGUGCAGCCCUAACCAGAGCUGGGUUCUGGGCUUUAUAAAGCCCGGCAUCUGCUGACUCCUUUAAUCCGGGGACACGGGGAAACCAUCCUCCCACCGUGCAGAUGAGGAAAUUGAGCAGUGUCAGAGCUGGGGUCAGGCCCCACCCCGCAGAUGGGGAAAGUGAGGCACAGGGGCAGUCACAGAGGUGUCAGCGGAGGCACAUUUGAAACCCAAGUCUGUAGGACCCCAGCCUCCCAGCGGGCCUCCACCCUUAGCUGGUGUCCCCGUCCCCUGGAGUCUCAGCUCCCCUUCUGCAAAGUGCGCAGGAGGCGCCCCCUGCAGGCCAGCGCGCGGUAGGCCCUCCGCGGGGCCCGCUGGCGCCCCCAUCCCGCCCCUCCCCCCACCCUCGCAGGCGCGGCGCGGGUGGGAACAAGAGCGGCAGCGGCGCCUCUGCGCUCAAGUGACAGCGCCUUUGUCUCUGCUGAAUGGGUUUCUAGAGAGAGUGCAUGCGGACUUGACUCCAAGCCUCUGAGAGGCCCAACUGGGGGCCCCCCCCCCAGGGACAGACAGCAGCCUCCGCCACCACCUACUGCCUCUCCCUCAG